rnacentral:rRNA from 1 species
GACGAACGCUGGCGGCGUGCUUAACACAUGCAAGUCGAACGGAAAGGCCCUAGCUUGCUGGAGUACUCGAGUGGCGAACGGGUGAGUAACACGUGGGUAACCUGCCCUGCACUCUGGGAUAAGCUCGGGAAACUGGGUCUAAUACCGGAUAUGACCUCUUGCCUCAUGGGGUUUGGUGGAAAGUUUCUCGGUGUAGGAUGGGCCCGCGGCCUAUCAGCUUGUUGGUGGGGUUAUGGCCUACCAAGGCGACGACGGGUAGCCGGCCUGAGAGGGUGAUCGGCCACAUUGGGACUGAGAUACGGCCCAGACUCCUACGGGAGGCAGCAGUGGGGAAUAUUGCACAAUGGGCGGAAGCCUGAUGCAGCGACGCCGCGUGAGGGAUGACGGCCUUCGGGUUGUAAACCGCUUUCGGCAGGGACGAAGCGUAAGUGACGGUACCUGCAAAAGAAGCACCGGCUAACUAUGUG